GAUGAAGAACGCAUCGAAAUGCGAUAAGUAAUGUGAAUUGCAGAAUUCAGUGAAUCAUCGAAUCUUUGAACGCACCUUGCGCUCCUUGGUAUUCCGAGGAGCAUGCCUGUUUGAGUGUCAUUAAAUUCUCAACCUUAUUGGCUUUUGCUGAUAAUGGCUUGGACUUGGGGGUCUUUUUGCUGGCUUUCAUUAGUCUGCUCCCCUUAAAUGUAUUAGCCGGUGCCCCGCAGUGGAACCGUCUAUUGGUGUGAUAAUUAUCUACGCCGUGGACGUCUGCUAUAAUGGGUUUGCGCUGCUUCUAACCGUCUCUCGGGACAACACAAAUGACAAUUUGACCUCAAAUCAGGUAGGACUACCCGCUGAACUUAAGCAUAUCAAUAAGCGGAGGA
rnacentral:misc_RNA from 1 species